CGCGUAGGCGGUUUGAUAAGUCAGAUGUGAAAGCCCACGGCUCAACCGUGGAAGUGCAUUUGAUACUGUUAGACUUGAGUACCAGAGGGGAAAGUGGAAUUCCCGGUGUAGAGGUGAAAUUCGUAGAUAUCGGGAGGAAUACCGGUGGCGAAGGCGACUUUCUGGCUGGAUACUGACGCUGAGGCGCGAAAGCGUGGGGAGCAAACA
rnacentral:rRNA from 1 species